AAGACAGGUGCUGCAGUGGCUGUCGUCAGCUCGUGUCGUGAGAUGUUGGUUAAGUCCCGCAACGAGCGCAACCCCUAUCCUCAGUUGCCAUCAUUAAGUUGGGCACUCUGUGGAGACUGCCGGUGUCAAACCGGAGGAAGGUGGGGAUGACGUCAAGUCCUCAUGGCCCUUAUGACCAGGGCUACACACGUGCUACAAUGGCCGGUACAAAGAGUUGCGAUACCGCGAGGUGGAGCUAAUCUCAUAAAGCCGGUCUCAGUUCGGAUUGGAGUCUGCAACUCGACUCCAUGAAGUUGGAAUCGCUAGUAAUCGCGGAUCAGCACGCCGCGGUGAAUACGUUCCCGGGCCUU
rnacentral:rRNA from 1 species